rnacentral:rRNA from 1 species
UGGGGAAUUUUGGGCAAUGGGGGGAACUCUGACCCAGCCAUGCCGCGUGCAGGACGAAGGCGUUAUGCGUUGUAAACUGCUUUUAUAUAGGAAGAAAUAGUCCUUGCGAGGAAAGUUGACGGUACUAUAUGAAUAAGCACCGGCUAACUCCGUGCCAGCAGCCGCGGUAAUACGGAGGGUGCAAGCGUUGUCCGGAUUUAUUGGGUUUAAAGGGUGCGUAGGCGGUUUAUUAAGUCAGUGGUGAAAGACGGUCGCUCAACGAUUGCAGUGCCAUUGAUACUGGUAGACUUGAGUAUGAUUGAGGUAGCUGGAAUGGAUAGUGUAGCGGUGAAAUGCAUAGAUAUUAUCCAGAACACCAAUUGCGUAGGCAAGUUACUAAGUCAUAACUGACGCUGAGGCACGAAAGUGUGGGUAUCAAACAGGAUUAGAUACCCCGGUAGUCCCUGAGCGGGCUGGCAAGGCGCAU